CUUAGUUUCGGCUAGACAUAUACUGAAAUUGGAACGAUACAGAGAAGAUUACUAUGGUCCCUGCGCAAAAUGCCACCUAGCAUGAGUUACCUGGGAGGAACGUUU